GGCGUGGCGGGGUUAAGCCGAGGGCGGCGGGCGGCCGCGCCGUGGCGCGCGCACGUGUGCAUAGUUCCUGGUCAACAUAGACAUGUGGAGGAUAUUGGCUGAGUCCUCAUGCAGACAAGAUCGUUAUAGUCUCGGUUAAAAAAAGUAACAAAAUAAUUGAAGAAAACAAAGGAGAAAGUCCAAAAGGAAAAGAAAAAA